rnacentral:rRNA from 1 species
CCUGACGGUAGUCGUAUGCUCGUCUCCGAGACUAAGCCAUGCAAGUCCAAGUACACGUCCUUGAACGACGGAACUGCGAACGGCUCAUUAAAUCAGUUGCGAUCUACUCGGCGUUCCGCGCCGCCGGAUAACCGUAGUAAUUCGUAGGGCUAAUACGUGCGAAGCGCCGAAGCCGCGAGGCGACGGCGUUCUCGCCGGAUGUAGGAACCGACCCGGGGACCGCCGGGGCAACCCGGCGCCCCCGAGACGGGGCGAACCACGGUGAAAUGACGGAUCGUCGGCCCCGCGCCGGCGACUCGCCGAAUGAGUUUCUGACCUAUCAACUCGAGACGGCGGGGUAGAGGCCCGCCGCGGUAACGACGGGUAACGGGGAAUCAGGGUUCGAUUCCGGAGAGGGAGCCCGAGAAACGGCUACCACUUCCAAGGAAGGCAGCAGGCGC